GAUGAACGCUGGCGGCGUGCCUAAUACAUGCAAGUCGAGCGAACAGACGAGGAGCUUGCUCCUCUGACGUUAGCGGCGGACGGGUGAGUAACACGUGGAUAACCUACCUAUAAGACUGGGAUAACUUCGGGAAGCCGGAGCUAAUACCGGAUAAUAUAUUGAACCGCAUGGUUCAAUAGUGAAAGACGGUUUUGCUGUCACUUAUAGAUGGAUCCGCGCCGCAUUAGCUAGUUGGUAAGGUAACGGCUUACCAAGGCAACGAUGCGUAGCCGACCUGAGAGGGUGAUCGGCCACACUGGAACUGAGACACGGUCCAGACUCCUACGGGAGGCAGCAGUAGGGAAUCUUCCGCAAUGGGCGAAAGCUUGACGGAGCAACGCCGCGUGAGUGAUGAAGGUCUUCGGAUCGUAAAACUCUGUUAUUAGGGAAGAAUAAAUGUGUAAGUAACUAUGCACGUCUUGACGGUACCUAAUCAGAAAGCCACGGCUAACUACGUG
rnacentral:rRNA from 1 species